rnacentral:rRNA from 1 species
GACGAACGCUGGCGGCGUGCUUAACACAUGCAAGUCGAACGAAAAGAGGGAAAGAGCUUGCUCUUUCCGGAAUUGAGUGGCAAACGGGUGAGUAACACGUAAACAACCUGCCUUCAGGAUGGGGACAACAGACGGAAACGACUGCUAAUACCGAAUAAGUUCCAAGGGCCGCAUGGUCCAUGGAAGAAAAGGUGGCCUCUACCUGUAAGCUAUCGCCUGAAGAGGGGUUUGCGUCUGAUUAGCUGGUUGGAGGGGUAACGGCCCACCAAGGCGACGAUCAGUAGCCGGUCUGAGAGGAUGAACGGCCACACUGGAACUGAGACACGGUCCAGACUCCUACGGGAGGCAGCAGUGGGGAAUCUUCCGCAAUGGGCGAAAGCCUGACGGAGCAACGCCGCGUGAGUGAUGACGGCCUUCGGGUUGUAAAACUCUGUGAUCCGGGACGAAAAGGCAGGGU